UACGUAGGGUCCGAGCGUUGUCCGGAAUUAUUGGGCGUAAAGAGCUCGUAGGCGGUUUGUCGCGUCUGCUGUGAAAUCCCGAGGCUCAACCUCGGGCCUGCAGUGGGUACGGGCAGACUGGAGUGCGGUAGGGGAGAAUGGAAUUCCUGGUGUAGCGGUGAAAUGCGCAGAUAUCAGGAGGAACACCGGUGGCGAGGGCGGAUCUCUGGGCCUUAACUGACGCUGAGGCGCGAAAGCUAGGGGAGCGAACAGG
rnacentral:rRNA from 1 species